UUUAAAAACUUGAAAUAAAAUAAAAUAAACAUAUGCAUCCAUCAAGAUCAAUGAUGAUUAUGCAUCAUCAGUUAAUCAGACAAAAAAGAAUAUAAACGUUAAAUUGUUGCACAGCUGUCGGUUGUUAAAAUCGAACACGUUCGCUAACCUGCUAGAAUCGACCAAAAUCCGACAUCGUGGUUCCCGUAAGCAACAAACAGGACAAAAAACGCAGAUACACCAAUAAAUAUACCCACAGCACUAAUUAGCAGAUGCACUAGGACGUCACGUAACAUUUUCUUGAAUGUCUAACAAUUACGUCGUAACGAUAAAGUCGUAAUAAUAUAGCAUAGCAUAAUAAAGUUGAACAAAAUGCGCA